GGGGAUGGUAGACUCUCUCCUUUCUCUCUCUUAAGAAUCCUUGAGAGAAAAAGUCUGAGUCGUGGUGGUUCCCUCUUGUUUGAUCUUGUCCCGACAUCUGUGGUUCCGUUCCUGUUUGGAGCUACAUGUCUGGUGUUCUGUUCCAGUAUCGCACCUAUCGUGGGGUGGAUGUGCCUUUUGACUCUGGGGCCGUGCCGUUCCUUCUUCGGCGGUGGUCGCCGGCUAUCGUACUUUCGGAAGUGCUCGAGUGAUGUGAUGUUUUCGUUUCGUGUUUGGUGAUGUGAGUUUGGAUGAGCUCUCGAUUCUAAUCGAUGAUGCUCUCCAACGCUGGUUUGUUUGCGUGGUGGCUGCUGAAUCUCCUAAACCUUUAAUACAGUCGUUGGAGGUGGUUUUUCGGUGGAUAUGGUCAAGUUCCCGGUUGUUCUCCGGAGGUUAAUUGAUUUGGUUUGUUCAUGCUUGUCGAUGAAGACAGUGGAAGCUCGUGUUCCGGUAAGAUGUCGGUGGUGCGUCGCUGAGAGGUCCCGGCAGAUCAAGCCAAAAGAGACGCUGACGGUUCAACUUUAAGCCACGUGUUUUCUUUUUGGUGUGUGGGUAACACGUGGGUUUGACGAAUGGAUCACUAUCUAUUUCUCUUUUGGGCUUGGAAAUAGUUGAAGGCAUGGUUGGUCUUUUGUUUCUGUAUGUUUUUUACAGUCUAGUCUUUGGGCCCUGUAUUUCUGUAGUUUAUAUUAUGCCUUUGAGCCUUUAUAAAAUAUUUUCAGUGAA
rnacentral:lncRNA from 1 species